UUAGCUACAAGCGGACAGAGUUGGGAAGGAUUGUCCCAAGGGUUUGGUUGUUCGCCGAUUCAAGUGGUACGUGAGUUGGGUUUAGAACAUUGUGAGACAGUUU
rnacentral:rRNA from 1 species